rnacentral:lncRNA from 1 species
GUUCAAAGCAUUAAUUUAUAAGAAAAAGAUGAGGAAUACAUGGCUUGAAUGCAGGAUGUAAUGUGCGAGGAGGAAUGGUGCCUUGUGGUGUCCAGUACAAGUACUCCAGACAGGAUGGCCAAUGUGACACAGGACUUGGACGAAUCCUUCAUUCAAUCAUG